CAAUAUUUGAGACCGGCGCACGGGUGCGUAACGCGUAUGCAAUCUACCUUUUACAGAGGGAUAGCCCAGAGAAAUUUGGAUUAAUACCUCAUAGUAUAGUGAGUUGGCAUCAACACACUAUUAAAGUCACAACGGUAAAAGAUGAGCAUGCGUCCCAUUAGCUAGUUGGUAAGGUAACGGCUUACCAAGGCAACGAUGGGUAGGGGUCCUGAGAGGGAGAUCCCCCACACUGGUACUGAGACACGGACCAGACUCCUACGGGAGGCAGCAGUGAGGAAUAUUGGUCAAUGGGCGCAAGCCUGAACCAGCCAUGCCGCGUGCAGGAUGACGGUCCUAUGGAUUGUAAACUGCUUUUGCACAGGAAGAAACACUCGGUCGUGACCGAGCUUGACGGUACUGUGAGAAUAAGGAUCGGCUAACUCCGUGCCAGCAGCCGCGGUAAUACGGAGGAUCCAAGCGU
rnacentral:rRNA from 1 species